GCAUUGCUGACGAGUCCCCAACCGGACGAAAUAGCUGUCCAGUGC
rnacentral:hammerhead_ribozyme from 1 species